rnacentral:rRNA from 1 species
AUUGAACGCUGGCGGCAUGCUUUGCACAUGCAAGUCGAACGGCAGCGCGGGCUUCGGCCUGGCGGCGAGUGGCGAACGGGUGAGUAAUGCAUCGGAACGUGCCCAGUAGUGGGGGAUAGCCCGGCGAAAGCCGGCUUAAUACCGCAUACGACCUGAGGGUGAAAGCGGGGGACCGAAAGGCCUCGCGCUAUUGGAGCGGCCGAUGUCGGAUUAGCUAGUUGGUGGGGUAAAGGCUUACCAAGGCGACGAUCCGUAGCUGGUCUGAGAGGACGACCAGCCACACUGGGACUGAGACACGGCCCAGACUCCUACGGGAGGCAGCAGUGGGGAAUUUUGGACAAUGGGGGCAACCCUGAUCCAGCCAUGCCGCGUGCGGGAAGAAGGCCUUCGGGUUGUAAACCGCUUUUGUUCGGGAAGAAAUACUCUGGGCUAAUACCCCGGGGGGAUGACGGUACCGGAAGAAUAAGCACCGGCUAACUACGUG